GUGAUUUGGAAAAGCUCAUCCUUCCGCAAGGGGUUUUCUCUUUGAUGUUCUGGCCCUGACUUUGAAGCCAGUGUUCUGGGGAGAGGCAUUUGAGAGUGACCCAGGGCCUGGGAACCGGGGCUUUUCUCAGGUGGUCUUAGGCCUGUUCUGCAACCAAGGCGAGGCCAGGAUUUCCGGAAAUAUGAGGAAGGCUUUGACCCCUACUCCAUGUUCACCCCAGAGCAGAUCAUGGGGAAGGAUGUCCGGCUCCUACGCAUUAAGAAGGAGGGAUCCUUAGACCUGGCCCUGGAAGGCGGUGUGGACUCCCCCAUUGGGAAGGUGGUCGUUUCUGCUGUGUACGAGGGGGGAGCUGCUGAGAGGCACGGUGGCAUUGUGAAAGGAGACGAGAUCAUGGCAAUCAACGGCAAGACUGUGACAGACUACACCCUGGCUGAGGCUGAGGCUGCCCUGCAGAAGGCCUGGAAUCAGGGCGGGGACUGGAUCGACCUUGUGGUUGCCGUCUGCCCUCCAAAGGAGUAUGACGAUGAGCUGACCUUCUUCUGAAGUCCAAAAGGGGAAACCAAAUUCACCCUUAGAAAACAGUGAGCUCUGGCCCCACCUCCUGAACACAAAGCCUCGGACCAGCCUUGAGAGAGGCCACACGGCACACACCAGACGGCAUCCUUGGGACCUGAAUCUAUCACCCAGGAAUCUGAAACUCCCUUUGGCCCUGAACCAGGGCCAGAUAAGGAACAGCUCGGGCCACUCUUCUGAAGGCCAACAUGGAGGAAAGGGAGCAGCCAGCAGUUUGGGAGAAGAUCUCAAGGAUCCAGACUCUCAUUCCUUUCCUCUGGCCCAGUGAAUUUGGUCUCUCCCAGCCCUGGGGGACUCCUUCCUUGAACCCUAACAAGACCCCACUGGAGUCUCUCUCUCUCCAUCCCUCUCCUCUGCCCUCUGCUUUAA
rnacentral:sRNA from 1 species